CCAGCCACAGCUUUCUGGCCCAUAGUAUGAUCACAUGACUCCCUAGUGAAGCCUUUCCCUGCCCUCUUGUCAUGUGUGACUCACACCAAACGUCCAGCCCAACUCACCAUAAUGAUGUCAUCUUUACUCCCACUUACUCCUCAGCAAACCCUCUCUUUUCUUCUUCUGAUCCAUCGUCUUCGGGAAGGAUCUCUGGGGUGAAGCAUCCGGGACCGCCUACAGAGAGGCAAAUUGAGACUCCACCCGGACAGGAACUCCUCUAGGGCUGUUUCGGAAGGUUGUGGACCCUUUGACAAGUGGAGCCUUGCUGAAGGAAGGAAGUAGCUGAGUCUUCAGGUUUAAAAGCCUUAACACCCUCCCAACCCCCCAACCCCACUUCCGGGUUACUGAGUGCUUCCUGACUUUGAGACCACGUGACCACCCCAUUCCCACCAACUUCACCAGGUUCGCUAUAUCCAUUCCCGUUCCUAAACUGUAAGACCAAACAACCCGUUCCUUCCUUAAGUUGCUUCUGGUCAGGUAUUUGGUCAUAGCAAUGGGGAAAGUAACGAAUACACCCUCCUUGCCAACCUUUGGUCCUUCCUCGGGGAGAUGCGUAGAUUGAGACAAAAUGGAGAAUGGGAUAGAAGCAUUCAAUGGCCAGCCAGGAAAAUGAUAGAGAUGCUGACCCACAGAGGCCUGGAAAGGUGACCCGUGGGGGUUGGGUGACAGCCUUGAUUGUUGGACCCUGGAUCCAACAAAGACACAUGGAGGACCAAGUCUUCAAGGCCUUGGACUUAGAGAAAAUGUUGAUGGAACAGUGAGUUUCUAAGUGUGGCCACUGCUCCAACAGUAUCCACACCACCUGGAAAUCAUAUUGUUAGAAAUACAAUAUUCAGGACUGAAGAGAUGGCUCAGGCAGUAAAGGGCUUCCUGCAGAAGCACAAAGACCUGGGUGUGGUCUACAGAAUCCACUUUUUAAAAAAAUGCUGAACUUGGUGGGGUUCAUUUACAAUCUUCAGGCUGGGGAGACAGAGAUAGGUGGAUCUCUGGAGCUUGCUGGCCACCCUACUCAGUGAACUCCAGGCUUGCCUCCAGCCUGAUCUUUUGGAGGCAUUUUCUGAAUUGAGGUUCCCUCCUCUCAGAUGACUUUAGCUCAAAAAACCCUGUCUCAAAAAACAAGGUGGAUAGUGCAGGCAACACACACA
rnacentral:lncRNA from 1 species